AAAGAAAUUCAAUAUAAAGCUCCUCUUUCAAUUAAGAAAAAUAAUGAACAACUUCACAAUACGAUUUAAAGCUCCAUCGAUUAAUUCAAACAAUUAUCAAGAAUCGAAGUCCUAAUUAAGUUAUCAAUACACCAUAUCUGUCAACUCCCUAAGAGAAAUUACUCCACAACAAUGGAAAAUUUAUCUAAGGUUUAAAGACAUAGAAAACAUCAAUGAUAAUGAUUCGAUACAAACUCUCGUAUUGCACCGAUUGUUUGUCGAAUUCUUGAUAAAUUCUUGUGUCUUCUUGCCUUAGUUGCUGCUCAAAUCCUUCGCAGGUCAAAAGUCCCUUCAAAAACAUAUUUUUGGUAUAUUUAUACCGUGUAAAAGUGGGUCCGAAAGAAACUACCAUUUCCAACCCGAAACAGAAAAAUACUCUGGAAAAAAUGCAGAGGCGCGCCGUACCUAGCGUCGCACCAUACGGCACGCUUGUGGGGAUUAUCAGAGAGCUU
rnacentral:lncRNA from 1 species